rnacentral:lncRNA from 1 species
GAGAAGAUAGCUUACUAAGUCAUAAAAACUCCAAUGUUCAGGAUGCUGCUGCAAACAGUGCUAUAUUAAAUGAGAAUAAUGUGCCUUUCCCUGAAGAUUCUCUUGCUCUGAUGCAUACCACACCUGCAACAAAUGGUUCUGUUCUUAAGGUAACAAUACUUAAUUUUGAAA